GAUUGGUUACCUUGUUACGACUUCACCCCAGUCGCUAAACCCACUGUGGUCGCCUGCCUCCCUUGCGGGUUAGCUCAACGCCUUCGAGUGAAUCCAACUCCCAUGGUGUGACGGGCGGUGUGUACAAGACCCGGGAACGUAUUCACCGCGGCAAGCUGAUCCGCGAUUACUAGUCGAUUCCGACUUCACGCAGUCGAGUUGCAGACUACGAUCCGGACUACGACCGGUUUUCUGGGAUUGGCUCCCCCUCGCGGGUUGGCAGCCCUCUGUACCGGCCAUUGUAUGACGUGUGUAGCCCUACCCAUAAGGGCCAUGAGGACCUGACGUCAUCCCCACCUUCCUCCGGUUUGUACCGGCAGUCUC
rnacentral:rRNA from 1 species